rnacentral:rRNA from 1 species
AUUGAACGCUGGCGGAAUGCUUUACACAUGCAAGUCGAACGGCAGCACGGGGCAACCUGGUGGCGAGUGGCGAACGGGUGAGUAAUACAUCGGAACGUGCCCAAUCGUGGGGGAUAACGUAGCGAAAGUUAUGAUAAUACCGCAUACGAGCUACGAAUGAAAGCGGGGGAUCGCAAGACCUCGCGAGAAUGGAGCGGCCGAUGUCAGAUUAGGUAGGUGGGGGGGUAAAGGCUCACCAAGCCGACGAUCUGUAGCUGGUCUGAGAGGACGACCAGCCACACUGGGACUGAGACACGGCCCAGACUCCUACGGGAGGCAGCAGUGGGGAAUUUUGGACAAUGGGCGCAAGCCUUAUCCAGCCAUUCCGCGUGCAGGAUGAAGGCCUUCGGGUUGUAAACUGCUUUUGUACGGAACGAAACGGUUCUCUCUAAUACAGGGGGCUAAUGACGGUACCGUAAGAAUAAGCACCGGCUAACUUCGUGCCAGCAGCCGCAGUAAUAC